rnacentral:rRNA from 1 species
ACGAACGCUGGCGGCGUGCCUAACACAUGCAAGUCAACGGGGAUUUGUUUCGGCAGAAUCCUAGUGGCGAACGGGUGAGUAACGCGUAGGCAACCUGCCCUCCGCCGGGGGACAACACUCCGAAAGGGGUGCUAAUACCGGAUACGAAGUCUGUGCCGCAUGGUACGGAUUUGAAAGAUGGCCUCUAUUUAUAAGCUAUCGCCGGGGGAUGGGCCUGCGUCCGAUUAGCUGGUUGGUGGGGUAACGGCCUACCAAGGCGACGAUCGGUAGCCGGUCUGAGAGGAUGAACGGCCACAUUGGGACUGAGACACGGCCCAGACUCCUACGGGAGGCAGCAGUGGGGAAUCUUCCGCAAUGGGCGCAAGCCUGACGGAGCAACGCCGCGUGAGUGAGGAAGUUCUUCGGAACGUAAAGCUCUGUUGUUACCUGACGAACCUCCCCUCUAUCAACAACGGAGGGGACUGACGGUAGGGAACGAGGAAGCCACGGCUGACUACGUGCCAGCCGCCGC